rnacentral:rRNA from 1 species
AACGAACGCUGGCGGCGUGCCUAACACAUGCAAGUCGUGCGAGAAAAUUCCUUCGGGAGCGAGUAAAGCGGCGCACGGGUGAGUAACACGUAGGUAACCUGCCCCCCAGUCUGGAACAACUAGAGGAAACUCUAGCUAAUGCCGGAUGAGACCACGAUCCCUACGGGGUUUUUUGCGGCCAAAGAUGGCCUCUACUUGUAAGCUAUCGCUGAGGGAUGGGCCUGCGGGCCAUUAGCUUGUUGGUGAGGUAACGGCUCACCAAGGCUGUGAUGGCUAGCUGGUCUGAGAGGAUGACCAGCCACACUGGGACUGAGACACGGCCCAGACUCCUACGGGAGGCAGCAGUGGGAAUAUUGCGCAAUGGGCGAAAGCCUGACGCAGCGACGCCGCGUGGGUGAUGAAGGCCU